rnacentral:tRNA from 1 species
GCCGCCGUAGCUCAGUUGGUAGCAGCGCCGCUCUCGUAAAGCGGAGGUCCUCGGUUCGAACCCGAGCGGUGGCUC